UAGGGAAUCUUCCACAAUGGGCGAAAGCCUGAUGGAGCAACGCCGCGUGUGUGAUGAAGGGUUCCGGCUCGUAAACACUGUUGUAAGAGAAGAAUGACAUUGAGAGUAACUGUUCAAUGUGUGACGGUAUCUUACCAGAAAGGAACGGCUAAAUACGUACCAG
rnacentral:rRNA from 1 species